AGUGCAAAAAUAAGAAAAGAAUUUUACAUCAGCAAUGACCCAUGGAACUUAGACAAAAACAAGAUGUACUGCACAGUACAGCAGCACUUUAAGGCGAUCUUCUAUCUGACCCUCCCACCCGACUCGACUCCAGCUUCUUCCCUCAUGAGGCCCAGCCCAGCCCUGCCCACUAUAUCACACUGAUUCUGGGAUUACUGCCAUCCCCUGUUGCAAUUGACGGAAAAGAAAAGAACAAAAAGCAUAUCAAGGUGACUGUACCACGUUUUGCUUUUGUCAAAUGUCAGCUGGAUCAGAACAAUGUACAUCUCUUUGUUUCUUCUCUUCCUCCUUAUAGGUUCAACCUCUACUAAAGGACGUGGGGAUUUUGGCAUUUUUAAGGCUUGCAUCGCUAACAACAGCCUAAGGUUGGACUGCUAUUAUGGAUUUUGUCCAGGCUCUCCGCCAUUCGACUGUGUAUUUAUGACAUCAAAUGGGUUCCUGCCGGCUAACCCAUCCAAGAUGUGCAGGCUUUUUCUCCCAGACCAUCCUGUGCUGUACGCCAAUAAAACCACAAGCUACAACUGCACACUGACGCGAAGACAAAGGAGAGAAGAGAAGCAAAUUACCAUAGACUACAGUAUACGUAGGGGAAAACAACACAUCUUACCCUGUUCUGGCACCACAGGCUACCUGCUACAUCAAGCUCCAACCUUACUGUGGCCUGUGGUGAUUCUGUCUCUGUGGAGGGUCCUUGGUAGCCAGACAACAUGAGGGAUUACUUGUGGAAGUUUUGACUAACGUAAAUGUUUUUAUUUUCUUUGACAAACUAAAUAAAUCUAUAUCCAGAUAUCUAUGAAAAGAUAACUCCUCUAGAGUUACCCUUUCAACCCUUCAGGCCUCAAAUCCAAAGGAGGAUUUAAUCUUCUCAAUGUUAAAUGUUAUUACCUUGCAGUUUAAUUGCGCUCAAUAUGUGCUGGUUGCACUCUAAGGACAACGAGGCGAGACAUCACUUAAAGGGUGUUUCCAUAAAAGCACUUCCUUUUCUUAGCCACUUAGAAAAAUACUCUUAACUAUCACCAAUAAUCCUAUAAUUCUAAACUCCGUUACUGCAUGGCAAAAUGCCCACACUAUCACAUGGGAUAACAUCCCUUGCCCCAUUGCAGAUGGAACAGUAAAAAACUGGGUUUACUAGCAGCACGGAAACAGCUGAAGAUUUACAAGUCCAAGAUAAGUUCCCACAUUUUUUGCAAUUACUGAAAAUCUAUGCUACCAAAUCAUAAUUUAUUUAAAUUGUCAAAUUAGACAUUAGGUCCACAAUUUCUAAUAUUCGAAACAGCAACUUGCCAAGUUAUAAUAAGGUGGAUUAACAAAAGAUUUGAAUAAGAUCUUCAAUGCAUUUACAAUGAUGUUGAUUAGAGUCUUGUCAGAAUAAAAUGUACAUACAUAUACAUUUAUCUCAUGUUUACUCUAAAUCUACAUGUUAAUCAUUUUAUUAGUAUGAAAGAUGAAGUACAUACACUGUAAGAAGUGUAUGCUUGUUUGUUGCAUAACAGGAAAUCUGUUUCAGGGUGUCUCAACAGCGGGACGCGGCUGACUCAGCAAAACAGGACCUUGUGGCCAUGCUGCACGGCCAGAUACGCGACUAAAAAAGGAGAAGUACAAAGGACACUCUGAGGGGUGUGAAUGAGAAGAGGAUGUUUGCACCCUCUCUGAGGUUUAGGGUGACUUAAAGUUCAAGCCUGUUAUACGAAGAAAAGUUGUGCAACAUCAUUGCUCCCCCUCCCUUAUGCACAUUUUGUUUUGUAACUAGGGUACUCCCUAAAAUGAAUAAAAAGGGAGGCAACGGCAGGAUGAGUUCAGAGCGGUAGGAGAUUGUAACUGAACUCC